UACGAAGGGGGCUAGCGUUGCUCGGAAAUCACUGGGCGUAAAGCGCACGUAGGCGGAUCUUUAAGUCAGGGGUGAAAUCCUGGAGCUCAACUCCAGAACUGCCUUGAUACUGGGGAUCUCGAGUCCGGAAGAGGUGAGUGGAACUCCGAGUGUAGAGGUGAAAUUCGUAGAUAUUCGGAAGAACGACCGUGGCUAAGGCGGCUACUCUAGUACGGUACGUGACGCUGAGACG
rnacentral:rRNA from 1 species